rnacentral:rRNA from 1 species
GUAGGUGGCAAGCGCUGUCCGGAAUUAUUGGGCGUAAAGCGCGCGCAGGCGGUCCUUUAAGUCUGAUGUGAAAGCCCACGGCUCAACCGUGGAGGGUCAUUGGAAACUGGGGGACUUGAGUACAGAAGAGGAAAGCGGAAUUCCAAGUGUAGCGGUGAAAUGCGUAGAGAUUUGGAGGAACACCAGUGGCGAAGGCGGCUUUCUGGUCUGUAACUGACGCUGAGGCGCGAAAGCGUGGGGAGCAAACAGGGGGUUAGAUACCCUGGUAGUCCACGCCGUAAACGAUGAGUGCUAAGUGUUAGGGGGUUUCCCGCCCCCUUAGUGCUGCAGCUAACGCAUUAAGCACUCCGCCUGGGGAGUACGGCCGCAAGGCUG